rnacentral:rRNA from 1 species
AUUGAACGCUGGCGGCAGGCCUAACACAUGCAAGUCGAGCGGAUGAAGGGAGCUUGCUCCUGGAUUCAGCGGCGGACGGGUGAGUAAUGCCUAGGAAUCUGCCUGGUAGUGGGGGAUAACGUCCGGAAACGGGCGCUAAUACCGCAUACGUCCUGAGGGAGAAAGUGGGGGAUCUUCGGACCUCACGCUAUCAGAUGAGCCUAGGUCGGAUUAGCUAGUUGGUGGGGUAAAGGCCUACCAAGGCGACGAUCCGUAACUGGUCUGAGAGGAUGAUCAGUCACACUAGAACUGAGACACGGUCCAGACUCCUACGGGAGGCAACAGUGGGGAAUAUUGGACAAUGGGCGAAAGCCUGAUCCAGCCAUGCCGCGUGUGUGAAGAAGGUCUUCGGAUUGUAAAGCACUUUAAGUUGGGAGGAAGGGCAGUAAGUUAAUACCUUGCUGUUUUGACGUUACCAACAGAAUAAGCACCGGCUAACUUCGUG